GGCUCGCAUCCUGAUGCUGAUCACUCAACUCUGCAGAGGAAGACAAAGGAGGGUGCAGCCAAAGAUUAUUAUUCUAACGAUGACUCCUGAUGAAAUGUGUCCUCGGUUGACAUGAUGAAAUCUUGCCUUUCUUCAUUUAUGGCCUGGGACGAGAUGCUUCAUCUCUUGUCAUCAGCCAACUGAAGAAGACUGUGGCAACACUGGGCAGCUGUGAGUAGAUGUGGAGUGCUCGGAAACCAUGAGAAUGAAGA